rnacentral:rRNA from 1 species
UGAGGAAUAUUGCACAAUGGGCGAAAGCCUGAUGCAGCAACGCCGCGUGAGGGACGAAGGCCUUCGGGUCGUAAACCUCUUUUCUGGGGGACGAGUAAGGACGGUACCUCAGGAAUAAGUCUCGGCUAACUACGUGCCAGCAGCCGCGGUAAAACGUAGGAGGCGAGCGUUAUCCGGAUUUACUGGGCGUAAAGCGUACGCAGGUGGCUUCGUGAGUCGGACAUGAAAGCUCCCGGCUUAACUGGGAGAGGUUGUUCGAUACUGCGGGGCUUGAGGUUGGGAGAGGGACGUGGAAUUCCCGGUGUAGUGGUGGAAUGCGUAGAUAUCGGGAGGAACACCAGUGGCGCAAGCGGCGUCCUGGCCCACACCUGACGCUGAGGUACGAAAGCGUGGGUAGCAAACAGG